rnacentral:sRNA from 1 species
GGCCUGCUGCGGCGAGAUCAGGUGUACGUGCGCAUCAUUACCGCCAGCGGUCAGAAUCAGGUGUUCGCCGGAGAUGGCGUCCGUGGCCGGCCCGACCGCCAGCGACGGGGUGACAUUGUCCAUGGUCGACGGGUUGCCGGCCUUGCCUAUGCCGCAGAUCAGCCCGUCCUUGAUGCCGACAUCGGCCUUGAUCACGCCCAAACGCGGGUCGACGAUGGUGACGUUGGUAAUCACCAGGUCCGGUGCGCCGGAAAAGCCGGUAAGCUGGUUAUCCAUGCCCAUGCCGUCGCGC